GACAGCUUGGCCGAGUGGUUAAGGCGUUUGACUUGAAUUUUAAUUCGAGUUCAUCAAAUGCGGUUCCCGCGCGUAGGUUCGAAUCCUGCAGCUGUCG